AUUGAACGCUGGCGGCAGGCCUAACACAUGCAAGUCGAGCGGUUGAAGGGAGCUUGCUCCCUGAUUCAGCGGCGGACGGGUGAGUAAUGCCUAGGAAUCUGCCUAUUAGUGGGGGACAACGUUUCGAAAGGAACGCUAAUACCGCAUACGUCCUACGGGAGAAAGCAGGGGACCUUCGGGCCUUGCGCUAAUAGAUGAGCCUAGGUCGGAUUAGCUUGUUGGUGAGGUAAUGGCUCACCAAGGCGACGAUCCGUAACUGGUCUGAGAGGAUGAUCAGUCACACUGGAACUGAGACACGGUCCAGACUCCUACGGGAGGCAGCAGUGGGGAAUAUUGGACAAUGGGCGAAAGCCUGAUCCAGCCAUGCCGCGUGUGUGAAGAAGGUCUUCGGAUUGUAAAGCACUUUAAGUUGGGAGGAAGGGUUGUAGAUUAAUACUCUGCGAUUUUGACGUUACCGACAGAAUAAGCACCGGCUAACUCUGUGCCAGCCGCCGCCGUAA
rnacentral:rRNA from 1 species